GACGAACGCUGGCGGCGUGCCUAAUACAUGCAAGUUGAGCGCUGAAGGUUGGUACUUGUACCAACUGGAUGAGCAGCGCACGGGUGAGUAACGCGUGGGGAAUCUGCCUUUGAGCGGGGGACAACAUUUGGAAACGAAUGCUAAUACCGCAUAAAAACUUUAAACACAAGUUUUAAGUUUGAAAGAUGCAAUUGCAUCACUCAAAGAUGAUCCCGCGUUGUAUUAGCUAGUUGGUGAGGUAAAGGCUCACCAAGGCGAUGAUACAUAGCCGACCUGAGAGGGUGAUCGGCCACAUUGGGACUGAGACACGGCCCAAACUCCUACGGGAGGCAGCAGCAGGGAAUCUUCGGCAAUGGACGAAAGUCUGAACGAGCAACGCCGCGUGAGUGAAGAAGGUUUUCGGAUCGUAAAACUCUGUUGGUAGAGAAGAACGUUGGUGAGAGUGGAAAGCUCAUCAAGUGACGGUAACUACCCAGAAAGGGACGGCUAACUACGUG
rnacentral:rRNA from 1 species